GAAGAAUGGGAAGAGGGGCAGGACGCGAAGUCAUCCCAGGCAGAAAAAUCCUCAAUGUUAAGUCAUCUGGGCGCCUGUGUUGGAAGGGCGCAUGCCCAGCCAGGUUGAGGAUUUCUAGGGAUGUCACAUAUUGCUGGACUUCAGGCCUCACCUUGACCUCUGACUCGGUCUCUUCAAGUCAGCUCACCUGGCUCACUGCAAAUUGCCAGGAGGCAGACCACAAAGUAUGGGAGUAAGAUCUUUGUCAAAGAGUCUUUGCUUUUUUUUUUUCUUUUGGCAUGCAACAAAUUAUGAAAAUCAAGACCUAGAAUGAGCCCCACCGUGACUUAUAAAUCUUGAAUAUGGAGCACUUUCACUGUCUGCUCCUGGACAGCACCAGGGGGCGCUCUCACAUAUUCGGUGAUUUCCUUAGCCCCAAGGCCAUCGCAGUGAGGCAGGCGAGUAGGGAGACUCACCCUGCUUUUGUGUAAAGCUUGGUCACAGGACUCUGCCUUUCUUGUGGUGAACCUAGCAGUGGGGUCUGUGUCUCAGCUCCUGGCUCCGAGCACAGAGCUUGUAGCUGCAUGUCGUGGGCCAGGCCUCUGGUCCCUCUGAAGCCUCGCUGCUGCUCAGCAGGGCUGCAGCCUGAAAGGCCGUCCUCUUCUGGCAUUAUUUCCAUCAUCCAUCUUAAGACUAAGAACUUCCUGUUGCUCACCACGCUGGUUCCUGUCUUCACCUCAUCUUCCCUCUGAAGCAAAACACGGUUUGAAACGUGGCCUCAGGGACCACUGUUUGUUCGCUCAUCUCAAGAAUCAUCAGCGGCAGGCAGCUCCCUUUCUCCUGCAGUUCUGAGAUUCACCGCUAAGGGGCGCUGCUGUCUCGAGUUCCACCGCAGAGAUACCAAACUGAAAGUUGGGGGGAAAAAAAUCAAUGAGGAUGACCCUGUGGCCUGGAAGGAGGCAUUUGAGGGCCUGCUGGUCUAUAAGAUGGGGAACAAAGGAGAAUCUACAGGAACAAGGUUUUCACAGCAAAUAACAGUCACAGUUGUCCUGCUCAAAUCAUCUGUACACACUCCACGAUCCAGUCCCGAGUUGUUCAGCUCCAGAACAAACCCCAGCUCCAGCUUCAGCUCCUUUAAACUAUGAUAGGUGGUCAUACCUCUCAGCGGAUUCAUCACUAUUAAAAUAUUCUGAGCCUGUGCUGUCUGUUGUACUGGCCUCUCAUUCAAGAGCCUCAAGGUAAACAGAUUUAUGAGACGUGAAUGUCAGAUGAGGGGAACUUUUUUAUAAACACCUUCUCAGGGUAACACCAACAGCGGUGCCGACUAUAUUUGAAAGAAUAACCUCAUUUGGGAAUGAGCGCAUAGGCUCCUACAAAGACUGUCUUGAAGGGAAAAACAUGCAUUGGUCAGGCUGUGCACUUGAUGCAUUCAUAUGUCAAUUUCAUUUCUCAAAAUUGACUCAUUUCUGGACCUUGAUGGGCAUAGAUCACUUUUGGAAAGUGAAUGUAUUCCAUUUGAAAGACUUCAGAUAGUCAGCAGUCGACUUCUCUUUGCAGAGGUUUCCCAAGUAACUACAUUCAGCCUAGUAGAUUCCUAGCCCAGGGUUUUAGAGAGAUGACAUUGACAAGGGUGAUAAAUGCAGGUAAAACACUCAAGAGUUAAGAGGCUGACUCUGGGGCCAGGCAGCCCUGGGUGAGAGCCGAGCCACAUACCAACGCUGGCAGGCCCCACCUGAAUUCAGAAUUCCUUGGCUCCAGAGCUGAUUUUUUACCCUUUCUAGUUUCCAAAAAUGGCCAUUUCAUUUGAUUCCAUUCAGUUGUAAGCUCUGCUGCCUUAGACUUCGGCCUGUAAUCAUAAAUACAAGCCAGAUUUAAUUUCCAUGGGUGGGUUACUGUAGUUAUGGUAGUACUAUAGAACAAAAGUUAGGUAACAGUUUAUAUGGAGAAGGAAAUGGCAACCCACUCCAGUAUUCUUGCCUGGAAAAUCCCAUGGACAGAGGAGUCUGGCAGGCUAGAGUUCACGGGGUUGCAAAGAGUCAGACAUGACUGAGUGACUGAGCACAACCAUUUAUGAGUGCAGGUGUAUAGCCAUGCUUUUGAGUUUUAAAUAAGUGUCAUAAAAUACAAACACCAAAGUUUGGAUCUAAAGUAGCCUACAUGCUCCCACCGGGUCCAAGCAUCUUUGGUACCCGAUACUUUUUCGACUGCACAAAGCCUAAAAAGAGUUAUUCGCUCUGACUAUUCUGCAACGCAGUUGUAGACUGAGAGCUGAUGAUGAAUUGACAGUGAGCUUCUAUUAGGUACAAAGUAGAAGGGUGACUCUGAUAUAAUUACAGAGUUACACACAGAAUGGUAAAUGCCUUUCAAAACCAUUUGGUCUGCAAAAAUUCAGUUCAACCUGCACUGAGCCACCAGUCACACCAGUCUUUACCCGUUGGUUAUUUUAUCUUCUGUACCCCACACAGUUUCUUUUGUCAGGUCAUCUCCUAAGGCUAAACGGAAGCUAACUUCUACCCACAGAAAAUAUUGCAGUUGACCAAAAAAUUUUGUUUGCGUUUUUUCCAUAAGAUGUUAUGGGAAAACCUGAACGAACUUUUUCAGACAACCCGAUAUAUUCAGAUCGUUCGUUAGGCAGCUUUAUUUAAAAAGCGUUACAAGGACAAACCAGAGGGAAAAGCCAGUUGUCACUGGACUCAGACUGAGUAGUUGGAUUUUUCAUCUUAUUUUAUGCUCCAAGGAAACAGCUGAAUCUAAAAAACAUAGACCCUUUUGGAAUGCAUGCUGCACUUCUAUACUUGUCUUCUAGUGCCAAGAUCAGUUUUUCCACAACUUAAAAAGACAGCUUUGUACUUUCGUUGUUGAACUCCAUACAUGUGAAAUUACCCACAGACAAAAAGACUCUUUUAUCUUAAAAUGUAUUUUCAUGAUCUCCAAACUUUUAAAAUACAAUGGUAACAUUCUCUAAUAAAUCAAGGCCUACUAUAUACUUGGGGAUGAAAUCAUCAGUAAUGAGAAAAGAAGUAAGUUAUAUUUCAAGUAGUCAUUUUGAUAAAUGCACCUUCGGGAGCCUCUUUUUUGUGAAAUGGAUGGUAUGGAGAUUACUUUUAUUGGAGAUUUGGUUGGCAGAGGGAUUUGGGUAAAAACUAAGGUGAAUAAAGACUGCCAUUUUCUUGCUGUUUAUCUUUGCUAAAAUGGUUAGCAUUAUCAUUGAUGUAUAACUUCUCAGAAAAAUUCUUUUAAAGUCAGUUGUUCCUUUUAUAAGGAUACAUCUAUUUUAUUUUAUUUUUAUUAUUAUUUUUUUGGAUGUGCAGCCUGGCAUGUGGGAACUUAGCCCCCCAACUAGGGAUCAACCCAGCUCCCCCUGCAGUGGAAGCUCAAGCCUUGACCACUGGACUUCCAAGGAAGUCCCAGGAUAUAUCUAUUUUAAAAUUAAGAAACAUCAUCUAUGAAGUUACUCCAUCCAAUGUGAACCUAAAUUGCAAUGCAUCACAAGACACUGAAAUCAAACCGUCACUGAGGACACACCAUUCCUCAUGAUAAGAGGCUCCUCCUGCCCCCCAUGUGGCAUCUAAACCGUAUAAGACCAAUGCGGGCCUUGGUCUUAACUGGUAUUUUAAAUAGUAUUCAAAAGAAUUUAUUUUUACAGAAGGCAAGUGGAAACAGAAUACAAAGAUUUCCUCCUAAACCCCAAUGAAUCAUCUUAUGUACUUGCUCACUCACCCAUCUGAAGACCAUUGGUUUAAGAUUGCUAUCUCUUUACGUGUACCCCAAUGUUCAUCGCAGCACUGUUUAUAAUAGCCAGGACAUGGAAGCAACCUAGAUGUCCAUCAGCAGACGAAUGGUACAUAUACACAAUGGAAUAUUACUCAGCCAUUAA